GAUGAACGCUAGCUACAGGCUUAACACAUGCAAGUCGAGGGACCGGCGCACGGGUGAGUAACACGUAUCCAACCUGCCCUUUACUCGGGGAUAGCCUUUCGAAAGAAAGAUUAAUACCCGAUGUAAAGGAUGGGGAUGCGUUCCAUUAGGUUGUUGUUAAGUUAACGGCUCACCAAGCCUUCGAUGGAUAGGGGUUCUGAGAGGAAGGUCCCCCACAUUGGAACUGGGACACGGUCCAAACUCCUACGGGAGGCAGCAGUGAGGAAUAGUGGGCAAUGGGCGUUAGCCUGAACCAGUCAAGUAGAGUGAAGGAUGAAGGGUUAUGGGUCGUAAACUUCUUUGAUAUAAGAAUAGGUAUUAUAUGAAUAAGGAUCGGCUAACUCCGUGCCAGCAGCCGCGGUAAUAC
rnacentral:rRNA from 1 species